rnacentral:tRNA from 1 species
GUCCCUGUGGCUCAGUUGGUAGAGCAUGGUGUGUGCAAUGCCAGGGUUGUGGGUUCAAUUCCCACGGGGGGCC